AUAAAGGAAACAUUUUCAUUUACUAGUAGUUGAAUACCAUCCGAGGUGUUGAAGUAUUCAAUAAUGUUAAAGGAAGCAUUUGUACUGUUUGUUGUUUCAUUUGGAAUCGUUUCAUCAGCAAAGGUAUUGUUUUUAACUUUAUCUCAAAAUAAAAUAUAGAUUAUCAUCAGUGAUAUAGUGAAAAUGAUCCAAUGUAACAAUUAACCAAACAUUUGUGUAAUUCUUUAAGUGAAUUCGAUGCAACUUUCUCUCAAAAGAAAAUAUCGACUAUCAUCAGAGGACGUUGAAAAUGAUGCAAUGUAAUCAUUAACUAAACAUUUGGGUCCAAUUGUUUAAAGUGAAUUCGAUGCAAUGAGUGCAACAAUUGUUGACGUGUAACUAUUUUUUUUAUAUAGGAAAAACAAUUUUGUGGGAAAGGAAUUCGUUCGUUAAACAUAAUAAAAACACAAAGACAAAAACAAAAUCUUUGUGCGAAAAAGUUGAUAAACACAAAAAGUUAAACAAAAGAGUCAUUGGGAAAUACAACAAAAUUAAUUCAGAUAAAACAGUGACGUCUAAAUAAUGAAAAUCCGAUACUCUUUCGAAAACAAGAAGAUGUGGAAUGAUUGCCAACGAGAACAUUUCACAAGACACCAAAUAAACUUAUAUAGGCUCUGAUACUCUUAUACGAUAACAAGUAGAUAUGGAAUGCCAAUUAUACCAUAUCCACCAUAUAUCAAGUUGUCUUAUUACGCCUCCUCUGAUAAUUUAAUACGAAAGCAAGUAGAUGUGGAAUGAUUGCCAAUUAGACAAUAUCCACCAUACAUCAAUUAAUCUUCUAUAGCCUCUAUCUAACUGCUUAUGACAAAACAUUGCUAUUAGUUUUGUGGACUUAUGCUCAUUAAAUUAUUCGAUUGAUGUGUGUGAGCUUUUGAUUUUGCCAUUUGGUAAAGGCUUUCCGAUUUGAGUUUUCAUACGAGUUCAGUAUUUUGGUCAUCUUACUUUUUUAUAAUUCUUCAACAAUAUUUUAAACGGUGACUAAUAAAGUAAAGGAUAUACAUUUGACGUUCCAGAUCCAAUGUAGACACGAUUCAGACUGCACGUCAGAUGAAUGUUGUUACUAUCACGAAGGACCUAUUGUAUUAAGUAAGAAAAGACAGGCCCUAUUACCUUUCUCUGGUAUUUUUCAAGGUAAGUUUGAAUACUCUGUUAUUACUUUUAUAUGCCUUUUUUUUUAACAAAUAACACUAGAGAAGUCUACUGUUGACUCAGAGUUCAAAUUUGAGAUGGAAUCAUUAUCAGUAUCUGAGAAAAACAAGUCUUCCCGAUAAGUUAGAUGGCACAAUGCUAUACAAUUAAGAGAAUGAAGAAAAUUAAAACCCUACCACAAGGCUGACAGCGUCAUCUAGUUUUCAAUCUACUCGACUAGAUAUAAGUAGACGAUAUAUUUGAGUUAUUUUGACUGUCCCAAUAAAGGUAAUAAUAAAUUAAGCAUAUUCCUUGCAGACCUAAGCUAUGCGUACAUGACAAAUAUAAAAUUCAUUGCUUAUUAUUGAUUUCAUAAUUACUGUCAUUAUGUUAAUAUAAAUUUAAGGUGGAUGGUGUGAACAAUACAAAACAGAAGGCCAGUCAUGCGGCGUCAUUGAUAAGAUGAACGGUCACUGUGAAUGCAGACCAGGUUUGACUUGUACUUCAGUUCAUAAACGACCUUAACAAUACGGGGAAUGGAUGUAAUUUGUUUAAAACAAUAACCAUUAAAUAAUAAAUUAUG
rnacentral:lncRNA from 1 species